rnacentral:rRNA from 1 species
AUUGAACGCUGGCGGCAUGCUUUACACAUGCAAGUCGAACGGCAGCACGGGCUUCGGCCUGGUGGCGAGUGGCGAACGGGUGAGUAAUACAUCGGAACGUACCCAGAAGUGGGGGAUAACGCAGCGAAAGUUGCGCUAAUACCGCAUACGUUCUACGGAAGAAAGUGGGGGAUCUUCGGACCUCAUGCUUUUGGAGCGGCCGAUGUCUGAUUAGCUAGUUGGUGGGGUAAAGGCUCACCAAGGCGACGAUCAGUAGCUGGUCUGAGAGGACGACCAGCCACACUGGAACUGAGACACGGUCCAGACUCCUACGGGAGGCAGCAGUGGGGAAUUUUGGACAAUGGGCGAAAGCCUGAUCCAGCAAUGCCGCGUGAGUGAAGAAGGCCUUCGGGUUGUAAAGCUCUUUUGUCAGGGAAGAAACGGCUCCGGCUAAUAUCUGGGGCUAAUGACGGUACCUGAAGAAUAAGCACCGGCUAACUACGUGCCAGCCGCCGCCGUAAAAC